rnacentral:snRNA from 1 species
AAAUGUUGCAGCUCUUUUAGAAUUUGUCUAUCAGGUUUUCCAGCAGAAUCUUC